rfam:Heterocephalus glaber contig83468, whole genome shotgun sequence.
GUACUGGAUUUUUUUAAAUCCAAAAAAAGAAAUAAAAAUAUGUUC